AAUUUCUCAAUCACUCAGCUAUAAAAAGUGCCUCAGAAAGUCAGUGGAGCUCAUUUAGGUUUUACCUUACAGGAUGUGCCUUCUAACUCUCCUGCUGCUGCUGUUGGCAGCUGCAUAUGUGAAGUGUCAUCAGCUGACACAGCUGUCCUCCUUAACGCUGCAGCCAGGUGACCUUCUGACCCUCAACUGUCAGGUCUCUUAUUCUCUGGACGACACCAGAACAAACUGGAUCAGACAGCCUGUGGGUAAAGGACUGGAGUGGGUUUGUAGUGCACACAUUGGAUAUGCCACACACUACAAAGAGUCACUGAAGAACAAGUUUAGGAUCGACUUGGAGCCAUCCAGUAAAACAGUGACUCUAACUGGACCGAAUAUGCAGCUUGAAGACACAGCUGUGUACUAUUGUGCAAGUCAGUCACAUUGAUAUAAAACAUCAGUGCAGCUGUACAAAAACCUCCCAAAGCCUGGGCAGAUGUAUUAUGAAGCCAGCAGAGGAGGAGCUCUCACCACACUUGUGAUUUCAAGACCUGCUGACAAUCAAAUGCCGUCUUCUUCAACGUUAGGAUUGAUUUACAGCCAUCACGUAAAACAGUGACUCUAAAUGGACAGAAUAUGCAGCCUGAAGACACAGCUGUAUAUUACGGUGCUAGAGAGCCAUACACCGUGACACAAACUAUCAGCAGACCUGAACAUACAUAAACUCCUCAGUGCCAGAAAAAAUGCUGUUUUUGUUUACCUGAAAAUGCUAAAUUAUUUUCUAAUAAAAGUUUAUAUCUUGUUAACUGUCUUCUGUAAGCCUUAUGGUAAUUUAUAAUUUCUAUCCCUCAAAAGGAUCCUAAAAAGAAAUAAUAAAUAUCCCAGACAGUCCAAGGCCAGUUUACCAGACAACAACAGAGAACAGGUGUAUCUGCAGAUGAACAGCCCAAUAUUUAUGUUUAUUAUUGUUAUUGUUUAUUAUUAUUAUUAUUAUUAUUAUUAAUAAAUAGUUUUAAAUGUAAAGGAAAUUUGCUAAAAUUUCAGACACAAUUUGUUGGUUAUGUAGGAGUUUUACUUUAUAAUUUGUGUUAUGUAAAUGCUGUGUGUCACAAGUGAUUUCAUUCAUGAUAAAUAUGUUUAAAGGCAUUAAGUUACCAUUACAAAAUUGUUUUUUGUAAUAGUAUUGGAUGCAAAUCUGCAGUGUGUUUCUGUAUAUGGAUCUCAUCCAUCACUUGGGCCAUCAGAAAUCUCCAGCUUCACAAGAAUGAAUACACUCUGCUCGCUGUUUCUUUACCCUCGACAUUGCUGUACCUCUCUAAAGUUUUUUUUUUUUACAUUCAUCAGCCAGUGUAACAAAAAGAUACUCAUCUCCAUCUCUCACAUACUUACCUUUUCUGUUUGCUUUAGCUUGUCUGAGUUUGACGUUCAUUCCUACCAGUACAAGUGAUGAAACAAUGGAGAAAAUGCAAAUGUGAUUUCUCGAGUGUCUUGUAAAGUGUUGGAAUGCACUGAGAAGUAAGCUGCAGAGUACCAAGAUAAAAAAAAAUUUUUUUUACAAUGA